rnacentral:lncRNA from 10 species
GCGACGGGGGCUUGGCCUCGAACCUCGCCCUUCAAAUCUGAACCCACCCUGGGAUCCGACCUGCUCAAUCAGGAAAGGAACCGGGUGGGCUCCAGCUGAGACUCCUCCCGGACCCGGACCCGCCCCACCCUCAGUUCCAGGCGGGGCCUCCGCCCCAAGCCCCGCCUCAGCCCCGCCCCUCGGAGAGCGGCAGCCAGAGGCAGGAGGGUCCCGGCUUCUACCAGGGGCUUCGGUCUCACGGACUGUCGCAUUUGCAUUUAAUCACUGAGUCUCACCCAGACUGAAGUGCAGUGGCACAAUCUCGGCUCACUCACCGCAGCCUCUGCCUUCCCGGUCCAAGCAAUUCUCCUGCCUCAGCCUCCCAAGUGGCUGGGAUUACAGCUGGUGAUUAAUCCUCCCAAGAAUGCCUCCUGUCACAUUUGAUCCCUGCGGUGGAAAAGUUAAAUAUUAAAUUUGAACUCAAUUGAACGUGGACAGAAACAAUGGUCACCAAGUCCCAGAACAGGUUGUGUGAGCCCCUUGAGGUGUUCGUCCAGCACUGUUUUGGAGAAAUCUCUAUUUCAAUCUAUUCCUACACGUUAGUUAUUGAAAAACAAUAGACAAUUGCAAAAAUAAGUUGAAUGUUUUGUGUUCCUUGAGCCCAGUCGCCAAGGGCCCCGUGACUGGGCCUCAUGCCAAACAACUCGUUACAAAAAGAGCUAGGGUCCCAGACUGCGCCAAAACUUCAUGAGACCUCUCCUCGUCUGUGCAUGGAUGAGUGGCCAACUCUGGAGCCCAGGCUGUUGCUUCUCAGUCUGGUGGUGAAUCCUCUAUAGUCUUAUGAGUGCGGUGUUCAACUCUGGAACCCAGGCUGUUGCUUUCCAGUCUGGUGGUAAAUCCUCCAUAGUCUGGUGAAUGUAAACAUCUUUUCCCUUCUCCCCUUCCCAUUGCAAUUUGCUUAUUAUAUCAAUCUGUUUAUUAUAUCAUUUGCUUACUUAUUAUAUAAUUUGCUUAUUAUAUUAAUUUGCUUGUACCAUUUGCUUAUUAUAUCUCCAUUGCCAUUUACAUGGGAUAAAGCUUGUUUACCCUUAAAGGUAUUGUGUGUGUCUCUUCUUCUCCCCUUGUGCGUUUCCUGCACAGAACAACCCCGCAGCCAAAUUUCUUUUUUCUAUAAAGUUUUCCCUUACAACCCCGCCACCCCCACCGCCCAACAAAGUAUGCCUCUUGUAUGACAUACUCCUAGUGCUUGUUGAUAUAUAGCAACCACCUCUUUGCAUUUGCCAUUUUUUUUUGUUUUUGAGAUAGUGUCUCACUCUGUCACCCAGGCUGCAGCGCAAUGGCGUGAUGUCGGCUCACUGUAACCUCCACUUCCUGGGCUCGUGCCAUCCUCCCACCUCAGCCUCCCAAGUAGAUGGGACUACAGGUGCGUACCACCAUGCCCAGCUAAUUGUUUCUGUAUUUUUGGUAAAGACAGGGUUUCACAUGUUGUCCAAGAUGGUCUCGAACUCCUGAACUCAAGUGAUCCACCUGCCACGACCUCCCAAAGUCCUGGGAUCACAGGUGUGAGCCACUGCGUCCAGGCUGUAUUUGCCACUAUUUGUUUACAUGUUUGUUUCUGCUACUGGACUGGACUCUUUGAUGGUAGUUGUGUUUUAUAUUAUUGCCAUUGUCAAGCACAUAUUACGUGCUUGAUAUCUGAUGAAUAAAUGAAUGAAAAAAAUUAAUGAAGAAGCAAAGGAGCAACAACAAGGAAAGGAAGGAACAAUACACAGUUGCUUCUUAAACUAAUACUAUUGCAAAGAAAGGGGUAACAAGAUUGGGUUUAGAGAAAGCCCCAGUCUGGAGCUGACGAUGGAUAGGAGGGGAAUCUCUAGUUGGAAAAAUAUAUUAAAAGUGCUCUCUUAAUCAUAUGGAUAAAGAAUUACAUGAGGUCAGGGAGCAGGGAGGGAUAGCAUUAGGAGAUAUACCUAAUGUAAAUGAUGAGUUAAUGGGUGCAGCACACCAACACGGCACAUGUAUACAUAUGUAACAAACCUGCAUGUUGUGCACACAUACCCUAGAACUUGAAGUAAAAUAAAAUAAAUAAAUAAAUAAAAGAAAUUAAUCCUAAAAAAAAAAAAAAAAGAAUUACAUGAGGUCAGUCACAGUGGCUCACACCUAUAAUCCCAGCAUGUGGAAAGGCCAAGACGGGAGGAUUGCUUGAGGCCAGGAGUUGGAGACCAGCCUAGGCAACAUAGUGAGACCCCCUCUCUAAAAAAAAUUUAAAUAUAUAUAUAUGUAUACACACACAAACACACACACAUAUAUAUGUGUGUAUAUGUAUAUAUGUGUGAGCAUUAGAUGAACCAGUACUCAAGGAAACCUACCUCCAUUUGGGGGCUGACUGAGGGUAAAGAGGAGAGGAGAGUCUGUCAACAUAAUCUGGUUGCGGUCUCAGCCCUAGAAACUGUGUGCUCCAUAAAGGCUGAUCAAGUUACAGCCUGUAUGAAGUGCACUGAGGGUCACAAUGGAAACCCUUUCCUGUCACAAAACAACUCAGCAGGUUGACACAGAAUGGUGUUCAUGCCAAAUAGGCCAGACAGGCCACAAUUCUCAGGGUUAGGCAAUAGAGGCAGAGACUCGGUCUCUAGAAGGCCAUUGCUUAAGUGCACGUGUUCUCUCAGGAUAAUGGAAAAACUCUGGGUGUCUCAAGAGGAGCCUAGAAGAUACCUGCUUAAUGGAAUCAAAUAGAUUUGAUCUCUACCAUUAGAACCUUAAAUUCUUCAGCUAAUUAUCACCUUAGAGGGCUCAAAGAGCUUAUUUCAAAAGGGAUGAGGCAGGCCAGGCACAGUGGCUCAUACCUGUAAUCCCAGCACUUUGGGAGGCUGAGGCAGGCAGAUCACGUGAAUCAGGAGUUCAAGAUCAGCCUGG